GGGGAUAUAGGGUACAGCCAGUGGUUAGGCUGUUUGACUCCCAGUCAAAAGGUUCUUGGUUCAAACCCCAAUGUCUGCA